rfam:Neurospora crassa OR74A unplaced genomic scaffold supercont12.9, whole genome shotgun sequence.
UGACCUCGGAUUAGGUAGGAAUACCCACUAAAUUUAAGUAUAUUAAUAAGUAGAAGAAAAGAAACCAAUAGGGAUUGCUUUAGUAAUAGUGAGUAAAGCGGUAAUAAUUUAAAUUUAAAAUCUAACUUCGAUCCGAAUUAUAAUUUAUAGAAGAAGCUUUUAGUAAAGCACCUUCUAAAUCCCUUAGAAUAGAGCGCUAUAGAGGGUAAGAACCCUAUAUAAUUGGAUGCCGAUCUAAUAUAAAGCUCCUUUAAUGAAUCGAAUAGUUUAAGAAUAUUGUUUAAAAUAGGAGGUAAAUUUCUUUUAAAGUUAAAUACCGGCUAAAGAUUAAUAGUGUAUAAAUAGAAUAAUCGAAAAAUAAAAAGCACUUUAAAAAGAGGGUUAAAUAGUAUGUAAAAUUAUUAAAAGGGAAGUAUUUAUAAUUAAACUUAUACCGUUCCAAUUAUUUAGUAUUUUUAUUAGUAUAUUCGGGAUAAUUUAAGCUAAUAUCGGUUUUAGCGGGGGGAUAAAAGUCCGGGGAAUAUAGCUCCUCCGGAAGUAUUAUAACCCUAGGCGUAAUACCCUCGUUGGGACUGAAGUUCGUAUAUUUAUAAGGAUGUUAGUAUAAUAGUUAUUAAUAACCCGUUUUAAAAUACAGACUAAGGAGUUAAGGUUUUGUACGAAUAUUUGAGUAUAAAACCUAUACGUAUAAUGAAAAUAAAUAUAAGUAAGAGCUUCGGCGUAUUAUUAACCGAUUUUAAUAUAUUUAAAUAGAUUUAAAUAAGAAUAUUAAACCUUAAACCUAAAAGAUAGUAAAUUAUAUUUAAAUAGAGUAAAGUUAGAGGAAAUUCUAGUAGAAGCUCGUAGCGGUUUUAACGUACAAAUCGAUUAUUAAAUUUAAGUAUAGGGGCGAAAGAUUAAUUAAACUAUCUAAUAACUAAUUACUAUUAAAAUUUCCCUUAAAAUAGUAAUAUUAUUCUUUAAUUUUAUAAAGUAAAACGAAUAAUUAGGGACUCGGGGGCGCUUUUUAACCUUUAUCUAUUUUCAAACUUUAAAUAUAUAAGAAGCCCUUAUUAUUUAAUUGAACGUAGGUAUUCGAAUAUAUUAAUAUUAGUAGGCUAUUUUUAGUAAGUAGAACUAGUAAUAUAGAAUAAAUUAAAUGUAGGGUUAAAGUACUGGAGUGGACGUUUAUUAAAUAUUAUAAAAGGCGUUAGUAUAUUUUAAUAGUAGGACGGUAGCUAUAGAAGUCGGAAUCUGCUAAGGAUUAUAUAAUAAUUUACUUGCCGAAUAUAUUAGCCUUAAAAAUAGAUAGCGUUUAAACGUCCUACCUAUACCCCGCCCUUAGGGUAAAAAUAAUACCCUAAGGAGUAGGCGGCCGUAGAAGUUAGUAAUAAAAUUUAGGGCGUGAGCCUGGGUCGAACGGCCUCUAAUAUAAAUUUUAGUAGUAAUAGUAAAUAUUUUAAUAAGAAUUUAAAGGAUUGAAGUAAGGAAAGGUUCUAUAUAAAUAGCGGUUGGAUAUAGGUUAAUCGAUUUUAAGCUAUAGGGAAAUUCUGUUUUAAAGGGGUAUUUAUACUCUGUAUAGUAAAAGGGAAGCCGGUUAAUAUUCCGGUAUUUAAAUGUAAAUUUUGCGCAGCAACGUAAUUGAAUAUAGAAAUAAUAGCGGAAGCCCCGGGUAGAAUUCUCUUUUCUUUUUAAUAGUCUAUUACCCUAAAAAUAGUUUGUUUAGAGAUAGGGUUUAAUAGCUGGAAGAGCCUAAUAUUUCUAUUGGGUCCGGUAUAUUUUUGAUAUCCCUUAAAAAUCCGCGGGAGGGAAUAAUUCUUAUGCUAAAUUGUACUUAUAACUAUAAUAAAUUUUUAAAGUAAAUAGUUUUUAGUUAAUAGAAUAAUAUAAAUAAGGGAAAUUAGUAAAAUAGAUUUGUAAUUUCGGGAAAAGGAUUGGUUUUAAGGGUUGGGUACGUCGGGCUUUGGGUAGACGCCCUAGGAGUAAAUUGCUAUUAGCCGGGUAACUGGCUAGCGGUUUUUAGUAUCCGGGUAUAGAAGCCUUUAAUAAAUUUCGGUUGUCCGGUGUAUAUUUAAUAAUUAAUUUAGAAUUGGUACGGAUAGGGGGAAUUUAAUUAUUUAAUUAAAAUAUAGUAUUACAAUAGUUAGAAAGUAGUAUUAAUGCAAUAUAAUUUCUACUUAGUACUUUGAAUAUUAAAGUAAAGAAAUUUAAUUAAGUGUGGGUAAAUAGUAGGAGUAAUUAUAAUUCUCUUAAAGUAGUUAAAUGCUUCGUUAUUUAAUUAGUAAUGUGUAUAAAUAGAUUAAUGAAAUUCCUACUAUUCCUAUCUACUAUUUAGUGAAAUUAUAAUUAAGGGAAUAGGCUUGGUAGAAUUAAUAGGGAAAGAAAACCCUAUUAAAUUUAAUUCUAAUUUAAUAUUGUAAAAAGAUAUAGGAGGUAUAGAAUAGGUAGGAGCUUUGGCGCCGGUAAAAUACUACUACUCCUAUUGUUUUUUUAUUUAUUUAAUUAAAUAGGGUUAGAUUUUCGUCUAACUUCUAGUUUUAAGGUCCUUCGUAGGCCGACCUAGGUUAAAGAUAUUAUUAAGUGGGGAGUUUAGUUAGGGCGGUAUAUUUAUUAAACUAUAAUGUAAAUAUUUUAAAGGGGGUUUAUAGAGAAUAGAAAUUUUUAGUAGAAUAAAAGGGUAAAAGUCCCCUUGAUUUUGAUUUUCAAUAUAAAUAUAAAUUAUAAAAGUAUAGCCUAUCGAUCCUUUAGUCCUUCGAAAUUUAAAAUUAGAAGUACUAGAAAAGUUACUAUAGAGAUAAUUAAUUUAUAGCGGUUAAAUAUUUAUAGCAAUAUUAUUUUUUAAUCCUUCAAUAUCGGUUCUUCCUAUUAUACUAAAGUAGAAUUCGGUAAGUAUUAGAUUAUUUACCUACUAAUAGGAAAUGUAAGUUAAGUUUAGAUUAUUGUAAGAUAGGUUAAUUUUACCCUACUAAUAAUUUUAUUGCAAUAGUAAUUGAAUUUAAUAUAAGAGGAAUUAUUUAUUUAAAUAAUUAGUUUUUAUAAUUAUCCGACCGGAUAGUAUUAUAACGCUACUAUCUACUAAAUAAUAGUUAAAUACUUCUAAAUUAAAAUCUAUAUUAAAAUGCAAUAAUACUUCUAGUAUAUUAUAGACGUAUAAGAAUAAAUUCCGGCUUCGUAUCUUAAUAAGUAAUUCCUCUAUUAGCUUUAAAAUAGCUAGCGGUAAUUUGUAUAUUGUAAUUUUAAUAUAUAUUAAAUUAAAUCCUUUAUAAACAAUUUAAAUAUACAAAAGGGUCCUAUAAAUAAUAAAAUAACCUUAUUAUUAUAAUCUACUAAAAGUAAGCCCUCCUUCGCUUAGAUUUCC